rnacentral:lncRNA from 1 species
AUGCAUGAUGACAUUUCAGUUGCCCUCACAGCAGGUAUAAAGAGGCUUGAUCAAGUUGAGUUAGCCCUGUUUUGGUGGUUGCUCAUGUCUCAAGCAUUUCUGGGUGGCUCAGAACCAAAAUACUUGAAGAAGGCAAAUUCAAAGGUUUUUCUGACUGGUCUUUAUACCUCAAACUUCCAGAUUCUUUAUCUUGGUUUGUGUCUACAUCCUCAACUCAUUAAAUCUAGUGCAGAAGGGCUGAAAUACAGAUACUUGACACUGGCUAAUGAACUAAAAGUAAUGCGCAAAAUUCUCCAAGCCAGACUUCAGCAAUAUGUGAACUGUGAACUUCCUGAUGUUCAAGCUGGUUUUAGAAAAGGCAGAGGAACCAGAGAUCAAAUUGCCAACAUCCGCUGGAUCAUGGAAAAAGCAAGAGAAUUCCAGAAAAACAUCUAUUUCUGCUUCAUUGACUACGCCAAAGCCUUCCACUGGGUGGAUCAUAAUAAACUGUGGAAAAUUCUGAAAGAGAUGGGAAUACCAGACCACCUGACCUGCCUCUUGAGAAAUCUGUAUGCAGAUCAGGAAGCAACAGUUAAAACUGGACAUGGAACAACAGACUGGUUUCAAAUAAGAAAAGGAGUACAUCAAGGCUGUAUAUUGUCACUCUGCUUAUUUAGCUUAUAUGUAGAGUACAUCAUGAGAAAGGCUGGGCUGGAAGAAACACAAGCUGGAAUCAAGAUUGCUGGGAGAAAUAUCAAUAACCUCAGAUAUGCAGAUGACACCACCCUUAUGGCAGAAAGUGAAGAGGAACUCAAAAGCCUCUUGAUGAAAGUGAAAGUGGAGAGUGAAAAAGUUGCCUUAAAGCUCAACAUUCAGAAAAUGAAAAUCAUGGCAUCCGGUCCCGUCACUUCAUGGGAAAUAGAUGGGGAAACAGUGGAAACAGUGUCAGACUUUAUGUUUUGCAGCUCCAAAAUCACUGCAGAUGGUGAUUGCUGCCAUGAAAUUAAAAGAUGCUUACUCCUUGGAGGAAAAGUUAUGACCAACCUAUAUAGCAUAUUCAAAAGCAGAGACAUUACUUUGCCGACUAAGGUCUGUCUAGCCAAGGCUAUGGUUUUUCCAGUGGUCAUGUAUGGAUGUGAGAGUUGGACUGUGAAGAAAGCUGAGCACCAAAGAAUUGAUGCUUUUGAACUGCAGUGUUGGAGAAGACUCUUGAGAAUCCCUUGGACUGCAACGAGAUCCAACCAGGCCAUUCUGAAGGAGAUCAACCCUGAGAUUUCUUUGGAGGGAAUGAUUCUAAAGCUGAAACUCCAGUACUUUGGCCACCUCAUGCUCAGAGUUGACUCAUUGGAAAAGACUCUGAUGCUGGGAGGGAUUGGGGGCAGGAGGAGAAGGGGACGACCGAGGAUGAGACGGCUGGAUGGCAUCACCGACUCGAUGGACGUGAGUCUGAGUGAACUCCGGGAGAUGGUGAUGGACAGGGAGGCCUGGCGUGCUGCGAUUCAUGGGGUCGCAAAGAGUUGGACACGACUGAGUGACUGA